rnacentral:rRNA from 1 species
ACGACUCUCGGCAACGGAUAUCUCGGCUCACGCAUCGAUGAAGAACGUAGCAAAAUGCGAUACUUGGUGUGAAUUGCAGAAUCCCGUGAACCAUCGAGUUUUUGAACGCAAGUUGCGCCCGAAGCCACUCGGCCGAGGGCACGUCUGCCUGGGCGUCA